rnacentral:lncRNA from 1 species
CAAAUUCUUGCAUAAAAAAGGCUAUGUGAUGCAGAUGGAGAAAUGUAGAAAUGUGAAAAUAUUAAAAUGACAAUUCUUCUUUCAUUUCUGCCCCUGGUUUAGGACCAUUGUGAUGUAAUCUGAUUUAGGACUUUGAGACAUUGUGUGAGCCAUCCUCUGAGGCUGAUUUCGACUCUUUCAGCAAAUGCUCUUCUCUCUGGCUUCAAGUUGCUGCAAUCAUUCAUUGAGGUAACAGUACAAAGCUGCCAAUUUGAAAAUAAGGCUUUGCUCAGUAGCAGAAGAAAAUGAGAAAUUCAAGGUGGAUUUUAGCUCUUCCCUGGGAUACUUCACCUGCCUGUGAGAGGACCUGGCUGUAUGCACACAGCAAAUACCUGGGGCAGCUGCCCUGA